GUACAUGCCGUAUUAAGGCGAAACCGCGAAUGGCUCAUUAAAUCAGUUAUGGUUCCUUGGAUCGUACCUUACUACUUGGAUAACUGUGGCAAUUCUAGAGCUAAUACAUGCAGCAGAGCUCCGACCUUCGGGGACGAGCGCUUUUAUUAGACCAAAACCAAUCGGACCUCGUGUCCGUACGAUGUGGUGACUCUGUAUAACUUUGGGCUGAUCGCACGGGCCUGUCCCGGCGACGUAUCUUUCAAGUGUCUGCCUUAUCAACUGUCGAUGGUAGGUUACGCGCCUACCAUGGUCGUAACGGGUGACGGGGAAUCAGGGUUCGAUUCCGGAGAGGGAGCCUGAGAAACGGCUACCACAUCCAAGGAAGGCAGCAGGCGCGCAAAUUACCCACUCCCAGAACGGGGAGGUAGUGACGAAAAAUAACAAUACGGGACUCUUUUGAGACCCCGUAAUUGGAAUGAGUACACUCUAAAUCCUUUAACGAGGAUCCAUUGGAGGGCAAGUCUGGUGCCAGCAGCUGCGGUAAUUCCAGCUCCAAUAGCGUAUAUUAAAGUUGUUGCGGUUAAAAAGCUCGUAGUUGGAUCUCAGUUCCAGACGGGUGGUCCGCCUACCGGUGGUUACUGCCUGUUCUGAACAGCCAGCCGGUUUCUCUUGAUGAUCUUCACCGGUUGUCUUGGGUGACCGGCAAGUUUACUUUGAAAAAAUUAGAGUGCUCAAAGCAGGCGUGACGCCUGAAUAAUGGUGCAUGGAAUAAUGGAAUAGGACCUCGGUUCUAUUUUGUUGGUUUUCGGAACACGAGGUAAUGAUUAAGAGGGACAGACGGGGGCAUUCGUAUUGCGACGCUAGAGGUGAAAUUCUUGGACCGUCGCAAGACGAACUACUGCGAAAGCAUUUGCCAAGAAUGUUUCCAUUAAUCAAGAACGAAAGUUAGAGGUUCGAAGGCGAUCAGAUACCGCCCUAGUUCUAACCAUAAACGAUGCCAGCCAGCGAUCCGGCUGUGUUCCUCAAAUGACACGCCG
rnacentral:rRNA from 1 species